rnacentral:rRNA from 1 species
GACGAACUCUGGCGGCGUGCUUAACACAUGCAAGUCGAACGGAAAGGCCCUGCUUUUGUGGGGUGCUCGAGUGGCGAACGGGUGAGUAACACGUGAGUAACCUGCCCUUGACUUUGGGAUAAUUUCAGGAAACUGGGGCUAAUACCGGAUAGGAGCUCCUGCUGCAUGGUGGGGGUUGGAAAGUUUCGGCGGUUGGGGAUGGACUCGCGGCUUAUCAGCUUGUUGGUGGGGUAGUGGCUUACCAAGGCUUUGACGGGUAGCCGGCCUGAGAGGGUGACCGGCCACAUUGGGACUGAGAUACGGCCCAGACUCCUACGGGAGGCAGCAGUGGGGAAUAUUGCACAAUGGGCGGAAGCCUGAUGCAGCAACGCCGCGUGCGGGAUGACGGCCUUCGGGUUGUAAACCGCUUUCGCCUGUGACGAAGCGUGAGUGACGGUAAUGGGUAAAGAAGCACCGGCUAACUACGUGCCAGCAGCCGCGGUGAUACGUAGGGUGCGAGCGUUGUCCGGAUUUAUUGGGCGUAAAGGGCUCGUAGGUGGUUGAUCGCGUCGGAAGUGUAAUCUUGGGGCUUAACCCUGAGCGUGCUUUCGAUACGGGUUGACUUGAGGAAGGUAGGGGAGAAUGGAAUUCCUGGUGGAGCGGUGGAAUGCGCAGAUAUCAGGAGGAACACCAGUGGCGAAGGCGGUUCUCUGGGCCUUUCCUGACGCUGAGGAGCGAAAGCGUGGGGAGCGAACAGGCUUAGAUACCCUGGUAGUCCACGCUGUAAACGGUGGGUACUAGGUGUGGGGUCCAUUCCACGGGUUCCGUGCCGUAGCUAACGCUUUAAGUACCCCGCCUGGGGAGUACGGCCGCAAGGCUAAAACUCAAAGGAAUUGACGGGGCCCCGCACAAGCGGCGGAGCAUGCGGAUUAAUUCGAUGCAACGCGUAGAACCUUACCUGGGUUUGACAUGGAUCGGGAGUGCUCAGAGAUGGGUGUGCCUCUUUUGGGGUCGGUUCACAGGUGGUGCAUGGCUGUCGUCAGCUCGUGUCGUGAGAUGUUGGGUUAAGUCCCGCAACGAGCGCAACCCUUGUUCACUGUUGCCAGCACGUUAUGGUGGGGACUCAGUGGAGACCGCCGGGGUCAACUCGGAGGAAGGUGGGGAUGACGUCAAGUCAUCAUGCCCCUUAUGUCCAGGGCUUCACGCAUGCUACAAUGGCUGGUACAGAGAGUGGCGAGCCUGUGAGGGUGAGCGAAUCUCGGAAAGCCGGUCUCAGUUCGGAUUGGGGUCUGCAACUCGACCUCAUGAAGUCGGAGUCGCUAGUAAUCGCAGAUCAGCAACGCUGCGGUGAAUACGUUCCCGGGGCU